rnacentral:rRNA from 1 species
GACAGAGGGUGCAAACGUUGUUCGGAAUUACUGGGCGUAAAGCGUGCGCAGGCGGUUCGUUAUGUCCGAUGUGAAAGCCCCGAGCUCAACUUGGGAAUGGCAUUGGAAACUGGCGGGCUGGAGUGUGGCAGAGGGGGGUGGAAUUCCACGUGUAGCAGUGAAAUGCGUAGAGAUGCGGAGGAACACCGAUGGCGAAGGCAGCCCCCUGGGCCAACACUGACGCUCAGGCACGAAAGCGUGGGGAGCAAACAGG